rnacentral:rRNA from 1 species
AUAAAGCCUUGAAUGGAUAUCUUGGCAUAAAAAGAGAAUAGGGCGUUAAAUCCAACGAAAUGCUACUAGGAGGUGGAUAAAACCCUGUGAGCAGUAGAUACCCUUUGAGUAAACUCAGAGCUUGUAGAAGCAUAAAACACGUUGAACUGAAACAUCUAAGUAAACGUGGAGAGAAAUCAACCGAGAGUCCGUUAGUUGUGGCGAGCGAACGCGGAUUAGACCAGUUAUAAUACUAUUUAUUAUUUAUUAACCUUAUUUAAAUCUUUGGAAAAGGAUGCCAUAGCGAGUGAUAGCCUCGUAGGACUUGGUUAUUUGUAUUAAAUUAUAACGUAUGAGUAGACCGGGCUAGAUAACCUGGUCGAACAUGGGAGGCCCACCUUCCAAGUCUAAUAACUUUUUAUGACCGAUAGAGAACAAGUACCGUAAGGGAAAGAUGAAAAGAACCCUGAAAAGGGAGUGAAAUAGAUCUUGAAAUUCAUUGCUAACAAGCAGUCGGAGCAAUAUAUAGUAUUUAUUAUUAUAUAGUUGUGACGGCGUACCUUUUGCAUAAUGGGCCAGCGAGUAUAAAGCAUUAGCAAGCUUAAGCUAAUAAGUGUAGGCGAAGAGAAAUCGAGUCCGAAAAACGGCGCGUGCUGUAUUAAUACGCACAUAGUUGAUGCUUUAUGACCCGAAACCAGGUGAUCUAAUUAUGAACAGGUUGAAGACUGGGUAAAACUAGUUGGAGGACCGAACUUGUAGGCGUUGCAAAGCCUUAAGAUGAUUUGUGAUUAGGGGUGAAAGGCCAAUCAAACCUGGAGUUAGCUGGUUUUCUGCGAAAUCUAUUUAGGUAGAGCGUCCAAUUAGUUCAGCAUGGGGUAGAGCACUGUUUAGGCUAGGGGGGUCCAAAGCCUUACCAACCCUAGAUAAACUCCGAAUACGUGUUUGCGGUAACAAAGAGCCGCACGUAGUUAUUAUAUAUAACACGGAACAUAUGGACAGACAGGCUAUAGGCGCUAAGGUCUAUAGCCAAGAGGGAAACAGCCCAGACCAUCCGCUAAGGUCCCUAAACAAUUACUGAGUGGUUAAGGAAGUCUUGAACCAAAAACAACCAGCAGGUAAGCUUAGAAGCAGCUAUCCUUUAAAGAAAGCGUAAUAGCUCACUGGUCUAGGUUUGGGGCGCCAAAGAUUCAACGGGGCUUAAGUAAUUUACCGAAGCGAUGGGCGAUAAGAUUUAGCUAGUGCGUAAGUACUAGGAUUAAAUAAUCGCGGUAGCAGAACGUUCUGUAGGCCUAUGAAGAUCUUUUGUGAAGAAGGUUGGAGGUAUCAGAAGUGAGAAUGCUGGCAUGAGUAACGUAAAAUCCUGUUAAAUUCAGGAUCGCCGGAAAUCCAAGGGUUUCUGCGCACUGUCUGUCAGCGCAGAGUUAAACGGACCCUAAGAAAAUCUACUAAUAUAUUCGAUGGGAAAUAGGUAACUUUCUUCAAAUAAUCCUAAUUCAUCUCUAUGUACGAAAAAAUACCUGCAAUAGGACUAAUUGGUUUAUCCGACUAGUAAAAUUGGAAGUUAUUUUAUUAUAUUUGCAUCAUUUUUUCCUGGAAAAACCUAGAGAUAUUAAAGACCGUACCCUAAACCGACACUGGUGGAUUGGUAUAUUUUACCAAGGCGAAUGAGAUAACCACAUUGAAGGAACUCGGCAAAAUUCCUUUGUAACUUCGGGAUAAAAAGGACCAAAAUGUUUUUUGGUGACACAAAAUUGAGGAUAGCGACUGUUUAUUAAAAACACAGGUCUCUGCUAAAUCGUAAGAUGAUGUAUAGGGACUGACUCCUGCCCGGUGCCGAAAACUUAAGAGGAAGGGUUAGCUUAAGUGCACGCUCAGAAUCUAUGGCUCGGUAAACGGCGGCCGUAACUCUAACGGUCCUAUGGUAGCGAAAUUCCUUGUCUACUAAUUAUAGACCUGCAUGAAUGGAGUAACGACUGUCCUUCUGUCUCCAAUGUGGACUCAGUGAAAUUGAAUUCUCCGUGAAGAUGCGGAGUACCAACGGUUAGACGGUAAGACCCUAUGCACCUUUACUAUAAGCUUACAUUGACGAAGAAGAUCUACUGUGUAGGAUAGGUGGGAGAUUAAUUUAUAAUUUCGGUUAUAUUUUAGUCAAUCUUGAAAUACCACCCUUUAUUUCUUUUGACUCUAACCCGUAUAGGGAACAGUGUAUGCUGGGUAGUUUGACUGGGAUGGUCGCCUGCUAAAGAGUAACGGAGGCGCACAAAGGUAAACUCAAGCGGUUUAGAACUCCGCUGUAGAGCGCAAUAGUAUAAGUUUGCCUGACUGUGAGACUGACAGGUCGAACAGGUACGAAAGUAGGUUAUAGUGAUCCGGAGGCAUUCGUGUGGAAGAGCCUUCGCUUAACGGAUCAAAGGUACGCUAGGGAUAACAGGCUAAUGGUUCCCAAGAGCUCAUAUCGACGGGACCGUUUGGCACCUCGAUGUCGUCUCAUCGCAUCCUGGAGGUGAAGAAGCUUCCAAUGGUUCGGCUGUUCGCCGAUUAAAGCGAUACGUGAGAUGGGUUUAGAACGUCGUGAGACAGUUCGGUUCCUAUCUUCCGUUGGUGUUAAAAAUUGAGAGAGUAGACUCCUAGUACGAGAGGACCGGAGUCUGUCAACCUAUGGUCGACCAGUUGUUGUACCAACAGCACAGCUGGAUAGCUACGUUGAAUUAGAGAACUACUGAAAGCAUCUAAGUAGGAAGCUUUUCUUAAAACAAGUUUUUCAUGAGCUCGUAGAAGAUGACUACGUAGAUAGGCAAAAUGUGAAACCAGGGUAACCUGAAUAGCUCAUUUGUACUAA